rnacentral:ribozyme from 1 species
CUUGACCUGAGUCGUAACCUUCUUCGUCAGCAUACCAAUCUGCUUCCAACAGCCAGUCUGCUACCAACAACCAGCCAUGGCCAAGAUGAGGACAUAGAAGAGCAAUCGCUCCAUUUGGAACAGGAUCAAGAUGAGAUAGUG